UACGAAGGGGGCUAGCGUUGCUCGGAAUUACUGGGCGUAAAGGGCGCGUAGGCGGCUUAGUUAGUCAGGCGUGAAAUUCCUGGGCUCAACCUGGGGACUGCGCUUGAUACGGCUAGGCUAGAGGAUGGAAGAGGGUCGCGGAAUUCCCAGUGUAGAGGUGAAAAUUCGUAGAUAUUGGGGAAGAACACCGGUGGCGAAGGCGGCGACCUGGUCCAUUACUGACGCUGAGGCGCGACAGCGUGGGGGAGCAAACAGG
rnacentral:rRNA from 1 species